rnacentral:lncRNA from 1 species
CCAAAAACUCAGGAAUUAGACUGGGUUUUCGUUGAUUUUUCUCCUACCCACAUAAGAAAUUCAGUUUUUUUCUGUUCAUUAGAUUUAGCCAAGCCCACAAUGCUUUGGUGCACUCACUGUGCCAGAAAGUGCCAGACCUUACGCGAAGGAGAUUUCUUGUAAGUAUAAUUUCAAAGGUUCUCAUUAUCAUGGUUAUAUACAUAAAGGCAAUUAAUUUCUAAUUGUCUGUAUGGUUUUAUUUAAUGAUCUGCUGCAGGUCAUGUUCUAUGUGUGGUAAGGUUCUUAGCAUGUUGACUUGGCACAAAAAGCUCAAUAUAAGAAAUCCAAGAUCUAAAAGAACCAAGAGAAGGAGGAACAAUGUACAAGUAGCUGAUGAUGAAUGCUCUGUAAAUGUUGAUGAUGGUUUAUUAGACACUGCUAAAAGGCCAAGUGUUAAAGUGAAUAAAGAU